AUGGUGCCUGCAAACCUUUAAAAAGCUUCCUUGGUUAGUGAAAUGCGUUUGACUCUUGGACUAACUUGGCUUCUCUUAAAAGUUAGCUUCUUUCUCUAUAAAGUGAGAGGAUUGGAGUUGAUCUUUUAACAUCUCUUCCAACUGCCAAUUUAUGAAUUUUCAGGAAGAAGGCUCGCCAGGUUAACCUGGACCCUGGUUGGACCCUUUGUAGAUGUUUGGGAUCUGGUUCCUGAGUUGGAAUCAGCUCACCAAGACGCCCUUUAAAGUCAUCCCCACUAACCUGAGCAGACCAGGCUUUAGGGGCUGCUGCAUUUCCACAAAGGGAAGUUUUUAGAUGAAAAGAUGUCAUCUGGGAGGUUGGAAGACUUGACAGAAAUGCUGAUGAAUACUUGAAGGCUUCCCCACUUCUGGAGAUUGGCUCCAUGCCAAGAA